UGCACAGCUGGUGAGAGAAGAGGUGGGGAAUUGCACCUUUGAAUGGUGGUUCUGCAAUCAAGAGCAGGUGGGACUGGCCCCUUUGGCUUGCUUCAUAAAAUGUGAGCCAGGACACCAUGCCACUGCACUUGGUGUAGUCAUAAGGGCCAAUAUGAAGGGGAAGAUGUCUCCCAUCUUGUCAUCAUUCCUUCAGAGCUAUUCAAAACCCACAGGACUUGAAACUCAGCUUUGACUGGACAAACCUUUCCUCUGGUCUAAUCAUGAAAUCCACUGUUA
rnacentral:lncRNA from 1 species